GACGAACGCUGGCGGCGUGCUUAACACAUGCAAGUCGAACGGAAAGGCCCUGCUUUUGUGGGGUGCUCGAGUGGCGAACGGGUGAGUAACACGUGAGUAACCUGCCCUUGACUUUGGGAUAACUUCAGGAAACUGGGGCUAAUACCGGAUAGGAGCCCCUGCUGCAUGGUGGGGGGUGGACAGUUUCGGCGGUUGGGGAUGGACUCGCGGCUCAUCAGCUUGUUGGUGGGGUAGUGGCUUACCAAGGCUUUGACGGGUAGCCGGCCUGAGAGGGUGACCGGCCACAUUGGGACUGAGAUACGGCACAGACUCCUACGGGAGGCAGCAGUGGGGAAUAUUGCACAAUGGGCGGAAGCCUGAUGCAGCAACGCCGCGUGCGGGAUGACGGCCUUCGGGUUGUAAACCGCUUUCGCCUGUGACGAAGCGUGAGUGACGGUAAUGGGUAAAGAAGCACCGGCUAACUACGUG
rnacentral:rRNA from 1 species